rnacentral:rRNA from 1 species
UAGGGAAUCUUCCGCAAUGGGCGAAAGCCUGACGGAGCAACGCCGCGCGAGUGAUGAAGGUCUUCGGAUCGUAAAACUCUGUUAUUAGGGAAGAACAAAUGUGUAAGUAACUAUGCACGUCUUGACGGUACCUAAUCAGAAAGCCACGGCUAACUACGUGCCAGCAGCCGCGGUAAUACGUAGGUGGCAAGCGUUAUCCGGAAUUAUUGGGCGUAAAGCGCGCGUAGGCGGUUUUUUAAGUCUGAUGUGAAAGCCCACGGCGCAACCGUGGAGGGUCAUUGGACACUGGAAGACUUGAGUGCAGAAGAGGAAAGUGUAGUUCCAUGUGUAGCGGUGAAAUGCGCAGAGUUAUGGAGGAACCCCCGUGGCGAAGGCGACUUUCUGGUCUGUAACUGACGCUGAUGUGCGAAAGCGUGGGGAUCAAACAGG